rnacentral:rRNA from 2 species
UAAUACAUGCAACGUCGAACGAACUCUGGUAUUGAUUGGUGCUUGCAUCAUGAUUUACAUUUGAGUGAGUGGCGAACUGGUGAGUAACACGUGGGAAACCUGCCCAGAAGCGGGGGAUAACACCUGGAAACAGAUGCUAAUACCGCAUAACAACUUGGACCGCAUGGUCCGAGCUUGAAAGAUGGCUUCGGCUAUCACUUUUGGAUGGUCCCGCGGCGUAUUAGCUAGAUGGUGGGGUAACGGCUCACCAUGGCAAUGAUACGUAGCCGACCUGAGAGGGUAAUCGGCCACAUUGGGACUGAGACACGGCCCAAACUCCUACGGGAGGCAGCAGUAGGGAAUCUUCCACAAUGGACGAAAGUCUGAUGGAGCAACGCCGCGUGAGUGAAGAAGGGUUUCGGCUCGUAAAACUCUGUUGUUAAAGAAGAACAUAUCUGAGAGUAACUGUUCAGGUAUUGACGGUAUUUAACCAGAAAGCCACGGCUAACUACGUGCCCAGCAGCCGCGGUAAUAC